rnacentral:rRNA from 1 species
UGAGUACGAGAUGCUACGGCAUCGAAGCAGUCUAUGUCAUACUUCCAAGAAAAGCUUGCAAUGUCAUAAACAAAUAAUGCCUGUACCAUAACCGACACAGGUGGGUAGGUAGAGUAUACUAAGGGGCGCGAGAUAACUCUCUCUAAGGAACUCGGCAAAAUGACUCCGUAACUUCGGGAGAAGGAGUGCCUUAUUUUUAUAAGGUUGCAAUAACAAGAUCCAAGCAACUGUUUACCAAAAACACAGGUCUCCGCUAAGUCGUAAGACGAUGUAUGGGGGCUGACGCCUGCCCAGUGCCAGAAGGUUAAAGAAGUUGGUUAGCAUUAGCGAAGCUGAUAACUGAAGCCCUGGUGAACGGCGGCCGUAACUAUAACGGUCCUAAGGUAGCGAAAUUCCUUGUCGGGUAAGUUCCGACCCGCACGAAAGGCGUAAUGAUUUGGAUACUGUCUCGGAGAGGGGCUCGGUGAAAUAGACUUGUCUGUGAAGAUGCGGACUACCUGCACCUGGACAGAAAGACCCUAUGAAGCUUUACUGUAACUUGAGAUUGAAACUGGACUUUAUCUGCGCAGUAUAGGUGGGAGACGUUGAAAAUAUUCUUGCGGGAAUAUUGGAGUCAUCAGUGAGAUACCACUCUUAUAAUGUUAGAUUUCUAACUUUGUAUCAUUAUCUGGUCAAAGAACAGUUUCAGGCGGGCAGUUUGACUGGGGCGGUCGCCUCCCAAACGGUAACGGAGGCGCACAAAGGUUUCCUCUGAACGUGUAGAAAUCGUAUCUAGAGUGUAAAGGCAUAAGGAAGCUUGACUGUGAGACCUACAAGUCGAGCAGGGACGAAAGUCGGUCUUAGUGAUCUGACGGUGCUGAGUGGAAAGGCCGUCACUCAACGGAUAAAAGUUACUCUAGGAUAACAGGCUGAUCUCCCCCAAGAGUUCACAUCGACGGGGAGGUUUGGCACCUCGAUGUCGGCUCAUCGCAUCCUGGGGCGGUAGUACGUCCCAAGGGUUGGGCUGUUCGCCCAUGAAAGCGGUACGCGAGCUGGGUUCAGAACGUCGUGAGACAGCUCGGUCCAUAUCCGGUGUAGGCGUUAGAAUAUUGAGAGGAGCCUUCUUUAGUACGAGAGGACCGAGAAGGACAUACCUCUGGUGUACCAGUUAUCGUGCCAACGGUAAACGCUGGGUAGCCAUGUAUGGAGGGGAUAACCGCUGAAAGCAUCUAAGUGGGAAGCCCACCUCAAGAUAAGUAUUCUCAC